rfam:Erythranthe guttata cultivar DTN x IM62 scaffold_48_contig_6, whole genome shotgun sequence.
AGAGCAAACUGUAGCCAAGAACAACUUGCCGAUAUAUCAGAUCGUUUAAAUUAAUAUAGCUAGCAAGAUCAUCGAUCGGCAAGUCAUCCUUGGCUGCAAACCGCUCUCU